rnacentral:rRNA from 1 species
GACGAACGCUGGCGGCGUGCUUAACACAUGCAAGUCGAACGGUGAACCUCUUCGGAGGGGAUCAGUGGCGAACGGGUGAGUAACACGUGGGCAACCUGCCCCCGGCUCUGGGAUAACUCCAAGAAAUUGGGGCUAAUACCGGAUGUUCACCGCUUCCCGCAUGGGUGGUGGUGGAAAGGGUUUCCGGCUGGGGAUGGGCCCGCGGCCUCUCAGCUUGUUGGUGGGGUAGUGGCCUACCAAGGCGACGACGGGUAGCCGGCCUGAGAGGGUGACCGGCCACACUGGGACUGAGACACGGCCCAGACUCCUACGGGAGGCAGCAGUGGGGAAUAUUGCGCAAUGGGCGGAAGCCUGACGCAGCGACGCCGCGUGGGGGAUGACGGCCUUCGGGUUGUAAACCUCUUUCAGCAGGGACGAAGCGCAAGUGACGGUACCUGCAGAGGAAGCACCGGCCAACUACGUG